AAAAAAAAAAAAACAAACAAACAAAGAUUGUUACACGGAGAAAGGAGAGAGAGAUCGAGAGAAAAGAGACUGAAAUAGAGAGACAGAGACAGAGAGAAGGGCGCCACCCAGAUCUUCUGCCAUCAGUAUCACCGUAAGGGCGCUUCCCAGAUCUUCUGCCAUCACCGUAAGCCACCACUCACUAUCCUACUAUCGGAAUCGCUACUGAAAUAGAGAGAGGCAAUGAAACAGAGAGAGGCGAUGAAAUAGGAAGAGGAUGAGGCCUGGGACACGGAGAAAGAAACAGAGAAAGAGGCAGAACAGUGAACACUGCAUCGAUUUGGCACCUUAAUCUAGGUAUAUUAGAUCGUGCUCCACUUAUUUAUUUGGGUGAGUUGAAGCAUCCUUUCCAAGUUUGACUAAAUGGUUGGUUGUCUCUGCAAAAGGUGGGUUGAUUCCAUUAAGUGCUUUUAUUUUUCUAUUGCAUUUCAAUGACAUUCAAUUACAAACUUUUAAAUUGAUUUGCACUUACAGUUACUUGCAUUUGACUUUUUAAAUUGAUUUGCAUUGCAUUUAGGUGGUUUGAAUUAGAAUUCAACUAACAUUUUAUGCAUAAAGCUGUAUUUAUAUGAAAACCAUUUUACUAAAUUUAGGUUGUAUUCUAAUUUAGAAUUCAGAUAGUUCAAAUGUACAUUUAAAAAAAAAAAAAAUUUGUUCCUUUUAAAUGUUGUUAUACAGUAUAUUUAUAUAUUGGUUGCUGCAUCAUUAUGUCAUAGAAGUCUUUCCAAUUGAAUUUUUGGCAGCCACAUCUAUUUCCCUAAUGUUGAAUAUCACAUGAUAACGUGUAUAAGUUGCAAUAUCUAUAAUGUGUGAAUGGUGAUUGAAGUCUGCAAGGUUUUUUUUAUAGUUAUUACAAGGUUAACAAAAAAACUUAGAAAAAUUGUUGACAUUUGCUUAGAAGUUAUGCAAACAUGAUUUUUUUUGCAAAACUAUAAUAUGGAAAUUGGUUCAAUUUGGUUUCUAUUUAGAGGCUAUGCAGAUUUAUUUAAUAUUUUUUAGUACUAGGUUGUUGCCUGCUGUAAUAAUUUGAUGUUAAGCAAGGCUUUGUUGAUGGUGGUUAUGUAAGAAGGAUUUGGUUCUAGGAAGACUGAAGCCAAAAAUAUGUAAAAGUGUGGUAGGUGUGACAUCUUACAGUAUAAUCAAUGGUGUGGAUUGUGGAGUAAUUGUAGAUUUAUUUGGUGUACUGUUAAGUUACUCCGACUGCCAUUAUUAUUUGCUACUCUGCCUCAUCUCUUCUCUGCAACAUUAUUAAUUAAAGAUUGGCAUACUCUUUUUUUACUUCAAAUAGUUUUUUUCCCUGAAACUUCUCACCGCCACAUUUCCUUUACGAAUUAUCAUAUUAAAUCUCCAAUAUACAUAUGCUUUUGUUUUAAACUGUUUAAAAUCUGAAAGUUUGGUAAUUUUAACAAACCUUCUUAUCCUGUCAUUUCGUUAAAAUUUAGAUUUGUUGCAAUUUUCUGUCAAGAUUCUAUCCAUUAUGCAUUUGUUGUUUGAAUUACCUCUGUUUAGACAGAUUGAUAACAUUCACCAGGUGUUCUCAAGAAACAUUGCUGGAUAAAGCUGACAGGUAAGGACCGCCUAACUAUCAUUCUUAUCCAUUUGACUUCUACUCUUUUCAAUUCCAUACUAAUCUGAUAAGAUUUUUUAAUGUUACAAAUCAUAAACUCAGAUUGAAUGUAGGUCUGCCAAUAAUGUAGUUAUGUUUCCCAAUUCGCCUUUAGAUUAAUGUAAAUGACUCUGCUGUUUUUGUUAUUUUUGUUGCCGGAAGAUUAGGGUUUUGUGAUUGAUUUAAUGAGUAUGAUGAUAUUAUUGUAUAUAAGGGCCAAUUCUAUGUGAUUGAUACAUUGGGAAACGUUUCGUGGAUUGAUAAUUCGUCAUUGAAGUUGGUUCCAUUUUUGCCUCCACUAUGUGGGUUGGGUAGCCAGAAGCACUUGGUGGAGUCAUGUGGAGCUCUCUAUGUUGUUGAUAGAUACUUUAAUAAAGAAAGGAGGAGGGUAGAACAUACCAACCGCUAUGUUAGAGACUGUGAUGGUCCCAAAGUGGUUGAUUUCAAAGUGUAUAAGCUGGAUGAAGAAUGGGGUUGAUGGGAGUUGGAAAAAAACUUGGGUGAUCGAGCUUUAGUUUUGGGUAAUGAUUGUUGCUUAUUGAUUUUGGCUGAAGAGUUUACUGGGUAUAAAAGGAAUUGCAUUUUCUUCAAUGAUCAAAAUGAAACUCAUGUUCUCAACUUGGAAGAUAGAAGCUUUGGAGAUUUACAGAAUAUCCAUCCAUCCUGGCUUCUGUCAAAUUUGCUUUAGGCCUAUGUAAGAUAGUCACUUCCAAUAACUUUCUUUUCGGGGACCUGAAUUUGAAGCAAAGAAAUAGAAAGAGAAUGUGUAAUGCAACUGUUAGAGAGAAAAGGGUAAGAGAUAUACAGUUUUCUACUAGAGAUGGUUGCUAGAGAUUAGUAAGUGUUAGAGAUAUAUUGUUUUCCUAUAUUUUCCUUGCAGAUGGAUCGAGUUAUCUUAGUUCUCCUAAUGUGAUUGCAUUCCUUGAUGUAUUCAUAAAUCAUAAUUAUGGGUUUAUAUCCAUUGGUUCACGUGCACCAACAUAUAAAUGGUCCUCACUAUGAUGUUGUUUGGUCUUACUGUGUUUUUUUCCUUAUUACAGUGGUCUGGAAUCCAUGGGAUUAGAAAUCAAAAUCAAUGGUAGAUUUUGGUGAUGAGGAGUACAAAUAGAUUCUUUGUGUUGAUGGAGCAGCAAUUGAGAAACCUAUCACUUUGAAGCCAGAGGAGGAAUGGACAGGGCGAUUGCAGUUCUCAGUUGUGCCUUCGAGUUUCUACAGUUGAGUACCUCAAUUUUUAGGAGAGGUCCUUUGAGGAAUGCUACAAAAUUUUAAGAGCACAAUGUGGUUCUUUUGUUCUUUUUCUGUCCUUAGAGGAACCUUAGCUAAAUCUUAUGUAAUAGCUCUCAACUCUUUUUUGAUAAAAUAAUAGCUCUCAAGUUGUAGAAAUUGUGCAAUGAUACUAAAGAUGUACUUAGUACUUUGUAAUACCUCAGACUAUAGAGGAUAGAGGAUUGUGGGGAAAGCCGCAUUUUUAAUUGAAUGGCUGCCCCAGGAAAGUGGGUACCAAACCAAUUAUUCCUUCUAUAA